GAGUGAUUUCUUCUUCCUCUUUCAGCGCGGGAACGACGCAUUAAACAGACGUAGAGAUUGCGGGCUUCGAUAAUAUCCGCAUAGUGCCAUACAAGGGAGCGACAACGAUGAAAUAUGAGAGUUAAGAGACCUAUAUGGUGGCUCCAAGCAACGGCAUUGCCAUGAGCGUUAAUUUCAGAUCAAUACGAUAUGAUGUCCGCUCUGAGGAUUCAGAAUCUUUCCCUAUUGUAGUUAUAUAAUAUUAUUUGCGAGUGCGAAAUUUCACUCGCUGCUCAGAAAAAUAUGGCCAUAGGUCGCCGACAUAUAGAAUUUAAGGAGGAUAUUUAAAGGAGGACGUUGGAGACGUGAGAAAAAAAUCACGGUUUUGGUGCGUCGACAGGUAGAUAAGGGACCAGUGGAUGGAAAGGUCACACUUGCCGACCUUAAUGAAAGUUAAACUUCUGACGAUGUGCUCACCAUUACUAUACCGUUAUCGGCUUUCGCGUGGGUUUUGAAGCCAAAAGAGUCAAUGUACGUGAGAGAGAUAGCGAUCCAAUGGAAAAAGCCGUCCAUCCAUUUGCGGUCGAGCCAAUGCAUCCUGUUGCACUUCCGUGUCUAUCCUAAGCGCACCCCCUCCCAACUCUUCUAAAGUAAAGUUGCCCGUGCUUUGUUUCGCGAUAUCAUUAA